GUGAGGAAUAUUGGUCAAUGGGCGAGAGCCUGAACCAGCCAAGUAGCGUGCAGGAUGACGGCCCUAUGGGUUGUAAACUGCUUUUAUAAGGGAAUAAAGUGGGGCUCGUGAGCUCUUUUGCAUGUACCUUAUGAAUAAGGACCGGCUAAUUCCGUGCCAGCAGCCGCGGUAAUACGGAAGGUCCGGGCGUUAUCCGGAUUUAUUGGGUUUAAAGGGAGCGUAGGCCGCAGGUUAAGCGUGUUGUGAAAUGUAGGGGCUCAACCUCUGCACUGCAGCGCGAACUGGCUUGCUUGAGUACGCACAACGUGGGCGGAAUUCGUGGUGUAGCGGUGAAAUGCUUAGAUAUCACGAAGAACUCCGAUUGCGAAGGCAGCUCACGGGAGCGCAACUGACGCUGAAGCUCGAAAGUGCGGGUAUCGAACAGGAUUAGAAACCCUAGUAGUCC
rnacentral:rRNA from 1 species